UCUAGCGAUCGACAUUAAAACCUUAGUUAUUUAACUCAAUUGUGAAUGUUUGUGCUAAAAAAUAGCUAAAAUUAACGAUAUUUAUUUGUAUUUUAAAAUUUAUUUAAUCAUUUGUUGGAUAUGCGGAUCGUCUGGUGAAUUAUAGCUGAAUUUGUGAUAAAGUUACGCAUCUCUUUUGUAUUAAAAAUAGCCAAUAAUUGUUAGUGAAAAUUUUCAGAUGUCGUCAAAUAUUGUUCCUGAUGUUCUAUGGAAAAGAAUUUUAGGCGAUGAAGAAGAGAGGGGACCAGAAAUUUCAAAUAUUAUAAACGGUUCGUCGGUGCCACUGCCAAGCUAAGUAUUUAUGAUACCCAACUGCCAAGCCAACCAAGAAUAGGAGAGUCUGCGUUUACAAUGCCAGCAGAUCCAAAAAAGAAAAAAGUUUGGAGGAAGGCUCUUUAUAAUUGGAUCAUAGGAAUUCCUUACAGAGAAAUAUCCCGAUUUUGUAAAAACUAUUACAUUGAUAAAUAAAUAUUAUGAAGUUA